GUGGGGAAUAUUGGACAAUGGGGGGAACCCUGAUCCAGCCAUGCCGCGUGUGUGAAGAAGGCCUUUUGGUUGUAAAGCACUUUAAGCGAGGAGGAGGCUACCGAGAUUAAUACUCUUGGAUAGUGGACGUUACUCGCAGAAUAAGCACCGGCUAACUCUGUGCCAGCAGCCGCGGUAAUACAGAGGGUGCAAGCGUUAAUCGGAUUUACUGGGCGUAAAGCGCGCGUAGGUGGCCAAUUAAGUCAAAUGUGAAAUCCCCGAGCUUAACUUGGGAAUUGCAUUGGAUACUGGUUGGCUAGAGUAUGGGAGAGGAUGGUAGAAUUCCAGGUGUAGCGGUGAGAUGCGUAGAGAUCUGGAGGAAUACCGAUGGCGAAGGCAGCCAUCUGGCCUAAUACUGACACUGAGGUGCGAAAGCAUGGGGAGCAAACAGGAUUAGAAACCCUAGUAGUCC
rnacentral:rRNA from 1 species